GGUUUUCCAAAAAAUUGAUUUCCCCGAAAGGGGCUGGAGAGAUUUAAAUCCUUUGUGUGUUUGUUCCUUCUCUGGGUCUUAAAUCAGGUUUGUUCUGAAUCGAGAAAUUAACACGAGCUAAGGAAUUGAGAUAUAUUUGGUUUUGUGUUCUUAUUUUUCGUUCGUGGGGGCUUGAUCUAAAUCCCAAGAGGCAUUCUCCAUAUUGUGACGAAUCUUGCCAUUCUUUUUGGAAUUUGUCACUGGUGAGGAGAGAUGUGGUGAAUGGAGAGAGGCGGUGGAUUUGAGAGGAGAGUUUCUUGGUUAUGUUGUUGAAAAGAUUGAACCUUUGCGUCAUGGGAUUGAGUCAUUUAGAUGAAGAUCGGGAUUAGUUUUGUCAUUUGUGUGAUCUUUGAAGUCUUGAGAAAAGAAAUAUCUUCCCUUCCCUGUAAAAGCUUUUCUUCUCCUUUUCUUUAGAGCUAGUUCUCUUUGGCUUCAGCUCUGGAUUUCUUUUCAUUCACUGUUUUCGAAUAUGAACCUAAGAUUUGUGUUUUCACAAUCUGAAUCUGUUUGUAUCUGGUUAAUAAUUGCGAAAUGAUAAACCUUGCAGUCCUUAGUACUGAAA